UACAGAGGUGGCAAGCGUUGUUCGGAAUUACUGGGCGUAAAGGGCGAGUAGGUGGCCAUCUAAGUCAGACGUGAAAUCCCCCGGCUUAACCUGGGAACUGCGUCUGAUACUGGACGGCUUGAGUAUGGGAGAGGAACGUAGAAUUCCAGGUGUAGCGGUGAAAUGCGUAGAUAUCGGGAGGAACACCCGUGGCGAAGGCGGCCUGCUGGGCUGACCCUGACACUGAGGCGCGAAGGCGUGGGGAGCGAACGGG
rnacentral:rRNA from 1 species